rnacentral:snRNA from 1 species
AUCACUUCUCGGCCUUUUGGCUAAGAUCAAGUGUAGACUUUGCCCAGUAAAAACACAAGAAAAUUUCAAUAACCAGUUGUAACUAGAGUAGUCAGAACAGUGCUUGGCACAUAGUAAACUCUCAGUUGUUCUGCAGAAACAAAUCAGCUUCUGAAACAAACACCCAUG